CUCCUCCUGGGCUGGGACACACCUACUCAACUUUCUCAGCAGCCUCCUCGGAGUGCGAGUGCACCGGGCUUUCCUGCUCUGUCUCUGCACCUCCCUCGGGAGCCUGUCAGCCCGGUGUGUGUGGAAAGGGCUCCAGCCCAGCAGCCCACCCUGGGGCACCCUCCCCUACCUGAAGGGCGUAGGGCUUCGGGAGUUUUUCCAUCAUGAUUAUUGCCUUCUUGGGCUUUGUCAUUUUCUUGCUCCAUUGUACAACCUGUGAGAAGCCCCGAGAAGGGCUUGUCUCCUCCUCCACCUGGCGCUUCACACACACUCUCUAUAAUGCAACCAUCUACGAAAACUCUGCCCCCAAGACCUACGUGGAAAGCUCUGUGAAAAUGGGCAUUUACCUGGCCGAGCCCCAGUGGGCAGUGAGAUACCGGAUUAUCUCUGGGGAUGUGGCCAAUGUGUUUAAAACAGAGGAAUAUGUGGUGGGCAACUUCUGCUUUCUGAGAAUAAGGACAAAGAGCAGCAACACGGCCCUCCUGAACAGGGAGGUGCGAGACAGCUACACCCUCAUCAUCCAGGCCACAGAGAAGACCUUGGAGUUAGAAGCUUUGACCCGUGUGGUGGUCCACAUCCUGGACCAGAAUGACCUGAAGCCCCUCUUCUCCCCACCCUCAUACCGAGUCACCAUCUCUGAGGACAUGUCCCUCAAGAGCCCCAUCUGUAAGGUGACUGCCACAGAUGCUGAUCUGGGCCAGAAUGCCCAGUUCUAUUAUGCCUUUAACACGAGGUCAGAGAUGUUUGCCAUCCAUCCCACCAGUGGUGUGGUCACCUUGGCUGGGAAGCUCAAUGUCACCUGGAGAGGGAGGUAUGAGCUCCAGGUGCUGGCUGUGGACCGCAUGAGGAAAAUCUCAGAGGGCAAUGGCUUUGGUAAUCUGGCUGCACUCGUCAUCCACGUGGAGCCUGCCCUCAGAAAGCCCCCAGCCAUCAUCUCAGUGAUGGUGGCUCCGCCAGACAGCAGAGAGGAUACCACCUAUGCCACUGUGAUGGUAGACGCAAACAGCUCAGGUGCUGAAGUGGACUCCCUGGAAAUUGUUGGUGGUGACUCUGGAAAGUACUUCAAAGCCAUCAAGUCUUACACCCGCAGUAAUGAGUUCAGUUUGGUGUCGGUUAAAGACAUCAACUGGCUGGAGCACCUUCAUGGAUUCAACCUCAGCCUACAGGCCAGGAGUGGGAGCAGAACUUCUUUUUAUUCCCAGAUCAGGGGCUUUCACCUACCACCUUCCAAACUGGCUUCCCUUAAGUUUGAGAAGGCUGUUUACAGAGUGCAGCUUAGUGAGGUCUCCCCUCCUGGGAGCCGCGUGGUGAUGGUGAAGGUAACCCGAGCUUUCCCUAACCUGCAGUAUGUUCUAAAGCCAUCCGCAGAGAAUGUGGGGUUUAGACUUAAUGCUCGCACUGGACUCAUCACCACCACAAAGCUCUUGGACUUCCAUGACCGAGCCCACUACCAGCUGCACAUCAGAACCUCACCAGGCCUGGCCUCCACCACUGUGGUCAUCGAUAUUGUGGACUGUAACAACCAUGCCCCCAUCUUCAACAGGUCCUCCUAUGAUGGUACCUUUGAUGAGAACAUCCCACCAGGCACCAGCAUUUUGAUGGUUAGUGCCACAGACAAGGAUCAUGGAGAGAAUGGAUAUGUCACCUAUUCCAUCACUCGUCCAAAAGCUGUGCCCUUUUCUAUCGACCCUUACCUGGGGAUCAUCUCCACCUCCAAACCCAUGGACUAUGAGCUCAUGAAAAGAAUUUAUACCUUCCGGGUACGGGCAUCAGACUGGGGAUCCCCAUUUCGCCAAGAAAAGGAAGUGUCUGUAUCUCUUAGGCUCAAGAACUUGAACGACAACAAGCCUAUGUUUGAGCAAGUCAACUGCACUGGGUCUAUCCGUGAAGACUGGCCAGUAGGAAAAUCUGUAAUGACCGUGUCAGCCAUAGAUGUGGAUGAGCUUCAGAACCUAAAAUAUGAGUUUGUGUCAGGCAAUGAACUACAGUAUUUUGAUCUAAAUCAUUUCUCUGGAGUGAUAUCACUCAGACGCUCUUUUAUGAAUCAUACAACAGGUCAACCCAUCAACUAUUUCCUAAAAAUUACAGCCUCAGACGGGAAACACUAUGCCUCGCCCACCACUUUGAAUGUUACUGUAGUAAAAGACCCUCGUUUCGAAGUCCCUAUAACGUGUGAUAACACAGGAGUACUGACACAUUUCACAAAGACCAUCCUCCAUUCUGUUGGGUUUCAGAACCAGGACUACAAUGAUGAGGACUUCAUUUCCUUAAGUGCAUAUCAGAUCAAUCACCAUACCCCCCAGUUUGAGGACCAUUUCCCACAGUCCAUUGACAUCCUUGAGAGGGUUCCUGUCAGUACCUCCCUGGCCCGCUUGGCAGCCAUUGACCCUGACAGUGGCUAUAAUGGCAAACUGGUCUAUGUGAUUGCAGAUGGCAAUGAUGAGGGCUGCUUUGACAUGGAGCUGGAGACAGGGAUGCUCACUGUAGCUGCCCCUCUGGACUAUGAAGCCACCAGUUUCUACAUCCUCAAUGUAACAGUGUAUGACCUGGGCACUCCCCAGAAGUCGUCCUGGAAGCUGCUGACGGUGAAUGUGAAAGACUGGAAUGACAAUGCUCCCAGAUUUCCUCCUGGUGGGUACCAGAUAACCAUCUCAGAGGACACAGAAGUUGGAACCACAAUUGCAGAGUUGAAAGCAAAAGAUGCUGACUCGGAUGACAAUGGGAGGGUUCGCUACACCCUGCUAAGCCCCACAGAGAAGUUCGCCCUUCAUCCCCUCACUGGGGAACUAGCUGUCACAGGACACCUAGACCGGGAAUCAGAGCCACAAUAUAUACUCAAGGUGGAGGCCAGGGAUCAGCCCAGGAAGGGCCACCAGCUCUUCUCUGUCACUGACCUGAUAAUCACAUUGGAAGAUGCCAAUGACAACUCUCCUCAAUGCAUCACAGAACUCAGCAGUCUGAAAGUCCCAGAGGAUAUGCCUCCAGGAACUAUUCUAACAUUUCUGGAUGCCUCUGAUCCUGAUGUGGGCCCUUCGGGAGAAGUGCGUUAUGUCCUGUUGGAUGAUGCCCAUGGGACCUUCCAUGUGGACCUGAUGACCGGCGCACUCAGUCUGGAGAGAGAGCUGGAUUUUGAGAGGCGGGCUGAAUACAAUCUGAGUUUGUGGGCCAGUGACAGUGGGAGGCCCCUGGCCCGCAGGACCCUUUGCCACGUGGAAGUGAUAGUCCUGGAUGUGAAUGAGAAUCUCCACCCUCCUCGCUUUGCCUCCUUUGUGCACCAGGGCCAAGUGCAGGAAAAUAGCCCCUCGGGCACCCAGGUGAUGGUAGUGACUGCCCACGAUGAGGACAGUGGCUUGGAUGGGGAGCUCCAGUACUUCCUGAGGGCUGGCACCAGUCUUGCAGCCUUUAGCAUCAACCAAGACACAGGUAUUAUUCAGACUCUGGCACCCCUGGACCGAGAAUUUGUGUCCUGCUACUGGCUGACGGUACUGGCAGUGGAUAGGGGUUCCAUACCUCUCUCUUCUGUAACUGAAGUCUACAUUGAGGUUACGGAUGUCAACGACAACCCACCCCAGAUGUCCAGGCCCGUGUUCUACCCUUCUGUCCAGGAGGAUGCACCCUUGCAUACUUCUGUGCUUCAGCUGGAUGCCCAGGACCCGGACUCCAGCUCCAAAGGAAAGCUGACCUUUAACAUCACCAGUGGGAACAACAUGGGAUUCUUUGCAAUUCACCCUUUCACAGGUCUCCUAUCCACCGCCCGGCAGCUGGACAGAGAGAACAAGGAUGAACAUAUCCUGGAGGUGACUGUGCUGGACAACGGGGAGCCCUCCUUAAAGUCCACCUCCAGGGUGGUAGUACGCAUCUUAGAUGUCAAUGACAACCCCCCUGUGUUCUCGCACAAACUCUUCAAUGUCCGCCUUCCAGAGAGGCUGAGCCCGGCCACCCUUGGGCCCGUGUACAGGCUGGUGGCUUCAGACCCCGAUGAGGGUCUCAAUGGCAGGGUCACCUACAGUAUCGAGGAGAGUGAUGAAGGGAGCUUCAGUAUCGACCCAGCCACAGGCAUGGUGUCAUCCAGCAGCACCUUCACAGCUGGAGAAUACAACAUCCUCACGAUCAAAGCAACAGACAGUGGGCAGCCACCACUCUCAGCCAGUGUCCGGCUACACAUCGAGUGGAUCCCCCAGCCCCGGUCCUCCUCCAUACCACUGGCCUUUGACGAGCCCCACUACAGCUUCACAGUCAUGGAGACUGACCCCGUGAACCACAUGGUGGGCGUCAUCAGUGUGGAGGGCCGACCGGGUCUCUUCUGGUUCAACAUCUCUGGUGGUGACAAGGACAUGGACUUUGAUAUUGAGAAGACCACAGGCAGCAUUGUCAUUGCCAAGCCUCUGGACACAAGGAGGAGGUCGAACUAUAAUUUGACCGUGGAGGUGACCGAUGGGUCCCACACCAUUGCCACUCAGGUCUACAUCUUCAUGAUUGCCAAUGUUAAUCACCAUCGGCCCCAGUUUCUGGAGGCUCAUUAUGAAGUCAGAGUUCCCCAGGACACACUGCCUGGGGUGGAGCUCCUCCGAGUAGAGGCCACGGAUCCAGACAAGGGCAAGGGCCUCAUCUACACCAUACAUGGCAGCCAAGACCCGGGAAGUGCCAGUCUCUUCCAGCUGGACCCAAGCAGUGGUGUCCUGGUAACAGUGGGGAAGUUGGACUUGGGCUCGGGCCCCUCCCAUCACACGCUGACAGUUAUGGUCCGAGACCAGGAGAUGCCCAUCAAGAGGAACUUUGUGUGGGUGUCCAUUUAUGUGGAGGAUGGAAACCUCCACCCACCCCACUUUACCCAGCUCCACUAUGAGGCAAGCGUUCCUGACACCACGGCCCCUGGCACAGAGCUGCUCCAGGUCCGAGCCAUGGAUGGUGACUGGGGAGCCAAUGCUGAGGUCCACUACUCCCUCCUCAAAGGGAACAGCGAGGGUUUCUUCAACAUUGAUGCCCUGCUAGGCACCAUCACUCUGGCCCAGAAACUUGAUCAGGCAAAUCAUGCCCGGUAUAGUCUGACAGUCAAGGCAGAAGAUCAAGGCUCCCCACAGUGGCAUGACCUGGCUACGGUGAUCAUUAAUGUCUACCCCUCAGAGAGCAGUGCCCCCAUCUUCUCCAAAGCUGAGUACUUCGUAGAGAUCCCUGAAUCAAUCCCUGUUGGCUCCCCAAUCCUCCUUGUGUCAGCCACAAGCUCCUCAGAAGUUACCUAUGAAUUAAGAGAGGGAAACAAGGAUGGUGUAUUCUCCAUGAACUCAUAUUCUGGCCUCAUUUCCACCCACAAGAAACUGGACCAUGAGAAAAUUUCAUCUUAUCAGCUGAAAAUCCGAGGCAGCAAUAUGGCAGGUGCAUUUACUGAUGUCAUGGCUCUUGUUUACAUCAUUGAUGAAAAUGACAAUGCUCCCAUGUUCUUCAAGUCCAUUUUUGUGGGCCAAGUUAGUGAAGCAGCUCCUCUGUACAGCAUGAUCAUGGAUGAAAACAACAAUCCCCUUGUGAUUCGUGCUUCUGACAGUGACGAAGAAGCUAAUUCCUUGUUGGUCUAUGAAAUUUUGGAUCCAGAGGCUUUGAAGUUUUUCAAAAUUGAUCCCAGCAUGGGAACCCUAAUCAUCAUAUCAGAGAUGGAUUAUGAGAGCAUGCCUUCUUUCCAAUUCAGCGUCUACGUCCAUGACCAAGGAAACCCUGUCUUAUUUGCAUCCAGGCCUGUCCAGGUUAUCAUCAAUGUCAGAGAUGUAAAUGAUUCUCCUCCCAGGUUCUCAGACCAUGUAUAUGAAGUAGCAGUAGUGAAGCCCAUCCAUCGGGGUAUGGAACUUCUCAUUGUGCGGGCCAGCGACGAUGACUCAGAAGUCAAUUAUAGUAUCAAAACUGGCAAUGCUGAUGAAGCUGUUGCCAUCCAUUCCAUCACAGGUCGUAUAUCUGUACUGAAUCCUGCUUUCCUGGGGGUCUCUAGGGAGCUCACUAUCAGGGCUUCUGAUGGCCUGUAUCAAGAUACUGCACUUGUAAAAAUUUUUUUGACACAAGCCCCUAACACAAGUUUACAGUUUGAUCAGAUUGUCUAUAGGGCAACAGUGAAGGAGAAUUUACAGGAUAGAAAGGCAGUGGUGAUUCUUGGCGCCCAGGGCAAUCACUUGAAUGACACUCUUUCCUACUUCCUGUUGAAUGGCACAGAUAUGUUUCAUAUGGUCAAAUCAGCAGGUGUGUUGCAGACAAGAGGUAUGGUGUUUGACAGAGAAGAGCAGGACACUUAUGAGGUGGCAGUGGAAUUGAGGGACAAUCGGACCCCUCAGCGAGUGGCUCAGGCUCUGGUCAGAGUCUCUGUUGAGGAUGUCAAUGACAAUCCCCCUCAAUUUAAGCACCUGCCCUACUACACAAUUAUCCAAGAUGGCACAGAGCCAGGGGAUGUCCUCUUUCAGGUGUCUGCCACUGACCAGGACUUGGGGGUAAAUGGUGCUGUAACAUACGCAUUUGCAGAAGACUACACAUAUUUUCGAAUAGACCCUUAUCUUGGGGACAUAUCACUGAAGAAACCCUUUGACUAUCAAGCUUUAAAUAAGUAUCACCUCAAAGUCAUUGCUCGGGAUGGAGGAACCCCAUCCCUCCAGACUGAGGAAGAGGUACUUGUCACUGUGAGAAAUAAAUCCAACCCACUGUUUCAGAGUCCUUACUACAAAGUGAGAGUGCCUGAAAAUAUCACACUCUAUACGCCAAUUCUCCACACCCAGGCCCGAAGUCCAGAGGGACUCCGACUCAUUUACAACAUUGUGGAGGAAGAGCCCCUGAUGCUCUUUACCACUGACUUUAAGACUGGAGUUCUAACAGUAACAGGCCCUUUGGACUAUGAGUCUAAGACCAAACAUGUGUUCACAGUCAGAGCCACAGACACAGCUUUGGGGUCAUUUUCUGAGGCCACGGUGGAAGUUCUGGUGGAGGACAUCAAUGAUAAUCCUCCCACUUUUUCUCAAUUGGUCUACACUACUUCAAUCUCAGAAGGCUUGCCUGCUCAGACUCCUGUGAUCCAACUGUUGGCUUCUGACCAGGAUUCAGGGAAGAACCGUGAUGUUUCCUAUCAGAUUGUAGAGGAUGGUUCAGAUAUUUCUAAAUUCUUCCAGAUCAACGGGAGCACAGGGGAGAUGUCCACAGUUCAAGAGCUGGAUUAUGAAACUCAACAACACUUUCAUGUGAAGGUCAGGGCCAUGGAUAGAGGAGACCCCCCACUCACUGGUGAAACUCUUGUGGUUGUUAAUGUAUCUGACAUCAAUGAUAACCCCCCAGAAUUCAGGCAACCUCAGUAUGAAGCCAAUGUCAGUGAGCUGGCAACCUGUGGACACCUGGUUCUUAAAGUUCAAGCUCUUGACCCUGACAGCAGGGACACCUCCCAUCUGGAGUACCUGAUUCUUUCUGGCAAUCAGGACAGGCAUUUCUCCAUUAACAGCUCAUCAGGAAUAAUUUCUAUGUUUAACCUUUGCAAAAAGAACCUGGACUCUUCUUACAAUUUGAGGGUAGGUGCUUCUGAUGGGGUCUUUCAGGCAACUGUGCCAGUGUAUAUCAACACUACAAAUGCCAACAAGUACAGCCCAGAGUUCCAGCAGCAUGUUUAUGAGGCAGAAUUAGCAGAGAAUGCAAAGGUGGGAACAAAGGUGAUUGAGUUGCUAGCCAUAGAUAAAGACAGUGGUCCCUAUGGUACUGUAGAUUAUACCAUCAUCAAUAAACUAGCAGGUGAGAAGUUUUCCAUAAACCCCAAUGGCCAGAUCACCACUCUGCAGAAACUGGAUCGGGAAAAUUCAACAGAAAGAGUUAUUGCUAUUAAAGUCAUGGCUCAGGAUGGAGGAGGAAGAGUGGCCUUCUGCACUGUAAAGAUCAUCCUGACAGAUGAAAAUGACAACCCUCCACAAUUUAAAGCAUCUGAGUACACAGUGUCCAUUCAGUCCAAUGUCAGUAAAGAUUCCCCAGUUAUUCAGGUGUUGGCCUACGAUGCAGAUGAGGGUCAGAAUGCAGAUGUCACCUACUCAGUGGACUCAAUGGAGGACUUGGAUGAAGAAGUCAUUGAAGUCAACCCAACUACUGGUGUUGUCAAGGUGAAGGAGAGCUUGGUGGGAUUGGAAAAUCGAGCCUUUGAUUUAAAAAUCAAAGCCCAAGAUGGGGGCCCUCCUCACUGGAACUCCCUGGUCCUGCUACGACUUCAGGUGGUUCCUAAUGAAGUACUCUUGCCCAAAUUUUCUGAACCUCUGUAUACUUUCUCUGCAUCUGAAGAUCUUCCAGAAGGGUCAGAAAUUGGUUCUGUUAAAGCAGUGGCUGCUCAAGAUCCAGUCAUCUAUAGUCUAGUGCAGGGCACUACACCAGAAAGCAACAAGGAUGGUGUCUUCUCCUUGGACCGAAACACAGGAGUUCUAAAGGUGAGAAAGGCCAUGGACUAUGAGUCCACCAAAUGGUACCAGAUUGAUUUAAUGGCACAUUGUCCCCAUAAUGAUACUCACUUGGUUUCCCUGGUCUCUGUCAAUAUCCAAGUGAAAGAUGUCAAUGAUAAUAGGCCUAUAUUUGAGGCUGAUCCCUAUAAGGCUGUUCUCACUGAGAAUAUGCCAGUGGGGACCUCAGUCAUUCAAGUGACUGCCAAUGACGAGGACACUGGCAGUGAUGGCCAGGUGAGCUACAGGCUGCCAGUGGACCCUGGUAGCAAUAUCCAUGAGCUCUUUGCCAUUGACAGUGAGACUGGCUGGAUCACCACACUCCAGGAACUUGACUGUGAGACCCACCAGAACUACCGUUUUUAUGUGGUGGCCUAUGACCAUGGAAGGACCAUCCAGCUAUCUUCUCAGGUUCUUGUUGAAGUCUCCAUUACAGAUGAGAAUGACAACGCUCCCCAAUUUGCUUCUGAAGACUACAGAGGAUCUGUGGUUGAGAACAAUGAACCUGGUGAACUUGUGGUCACUCUUAAAACCUUGGAUGCUGAUAUCUCUGAGCAGAACAGACAGGUCACCUGCUAUAUCACAGAGGGAGAUCCCUUGGGCCAGUUUGGCAUCAGCCAAGCUGGAGAUGAAUGGAGGAUUUUCUCAAGGAAGACCCUGGACCGUGAACACACUGCCAAGUACUUGCUCAGAAUCACAGCUUCUGAUGGCAAGUUCCAGGCUUCAGUCCUUGUAGAGAUCUUCGUCCUGGACAUCAAUGAUAACAGCCCACAAUGCUCACAGCUUCUCUAUACUGGCAAAAUCAGUGAAGAUAUAUCUCCAGGACACUUCAUUUUGAAAGUUUCUGCAACAGACUUGGAUUCUGAUACCAAUGCUCAGAUCACAUAUUCUCUGCAUGGUCCUGGGGCAGAUGAAUUUAAGCUGGAUCCUCAUACAGGGGAGCUGACCACCCUUACAGCCCUGGACCGAGAGAAGAAGGAUACGUACAGCCUUGUUGCCAAGGCGACAGAUGGAGGUGGCCAAUCAUGCCAGGCAGAUGUGAUCCUCCAUGUGGAGGAUGUGAAUGACAACGCCCCCCAUUUCUUCCCCAGCCACUGUGCUGUGGCUGUCUUCGACAACACCACGGUUAAGACUCCCGUAGCUGUGGUGUUGGCCCGGGAUCCUGACCAAGGUGCCAAUGCCCAGGUGGUUUACUCUCUGACGGACUCUGCUGAAGGCCAUUUUUCCAUUGAGGCCACCACGGGUGUGAUUCGGCUGGAGAAGCCACUACGGGUCAGGCCACAGGAAGCACUGGAGCUCACUGUCCGUGCCUCUGACCUGGGAACCCCAAUACCACUGUCCACUCUGGGCACAGUCACUGUCUCCGUGGUAGGCCUUGAUGACUAUCUGCCGGUGUUCCUGAACACUGAGCAUAGUGUGCAGGUGCCCGAGGACGCCCAGCUUGGCACAGAGGUGCUGCGGCUGGCCACCCUCACUCGCCCCAGUGCCGAGAAGACCAGCUACCGUGUGGUCAGUGGGAACGAGCAGGGGAGGUUCCGCCUGGAUGCCCUCACAGGGAUCCUGUAUGUCAACAAGAGCCUGGAUUUUGAGACAAGCUCCAAGUUCUUCCUAUCCAUAGAAUGCAGCCGGAAAGGCUCUUCCUCCCUCAGUGACAUGACCACAAUCGUGGUCAACAUCACUGAUGUCAAUGAACACCGACCCAGAUUCUCCCAGGAUCUGUACAGCACGAGGGUCUUAGAGAAUGCCAUCGUGGGUGACGUUGUGCUCACAAUGUCAGCAACUGAUGAAGAUGGACCUGCAAAUAGUGCCAUCACCUACAGCCUGGUAGGAGGGAACCAGCUCGGACACUUUGCUGUCCACCCCAAGAAGGGGGAGCUACAGGUGGCCAAGGCCCUGGAUUGGGAACAGAUUUCUAGCUAUUCCCUGAGGCUCCGAGCCACAGACAGCGGGCGGCCCCCACUGCAUGAAGACAUAGACAUUGCUAUCCAAGUGGUUGAUGUCAAUGAUAACCCACCAAGAUUCUUCCAGCUCAACUACAGCACCUCUGUCCAGGAGAACUCACCCCUUGGAAGCAAAGUCCUACAGCUGAUCCUAAGUGACCCAGACUCCCCAGAGAAUGGUCCCCCCUACUCAUUCCAAAUCACCAAGGGGAAUGAUGGCUCUGCCUUCCGAGUGACCCCUGAUGGAUGGCUGGUGACCACUAUGGGCCUGAGCAGGAGAGUCCAGGAAUGGUAUCAGCUUCAGAUCAAGGUGUCAGACAGUGGCAUCCCUCCCCUCUCGUCUUCAACGUCUGUCAGUGUUCAUGUCACGGAGCAGAGCCACUACCCACCCUCUGCCCUCCCACUGGAGAUCUUCAUCACCAUUGGGGAGGAGGAAUUCCAGGGUGGCAUGGUGGGUAAAAUCCAUGCCACAGACCGAGACCCACAGGACACGCUGACCUACAGCCUGGCAGGAGAGGACAACGUGGCCAGGCACUUCUCAGUGGGCGCACUCGAUGGCAAGAUUAUCGCCGCCCAGGACCUGCCUCGUGGCCGCUAUGCAUUCAACGUCACAGUCAGUGAUGGGACCUUCGCUGCCACUGCUGGGGUCCAUGUCCAUGUGUGGCACGUGGGGCGGGAGGCUCUGCAGCAGGCCAUGUGGUUGGGCUUCCACCAGCUCACCCCAGAGGAACUGGUGAGCGACCACUGGAGGAACCUGCAGAGGUUCCUCAGCAACAAACUGGACAUCAAACGAGCUAACAUCCACCUGGCCAGCCUUCAGCCUGCAGAGACCACAGCUGGGGUGGACGUGCUCCUGGUCUUUGAGAGGCAUUCUGGAACCUUCUACAAGCUCCAGGAGCUGGCAUCCAUCAUCACUCGCUCAGCCAAGGAGAUGGAGCACUUGGUGGGAAUUCAGAUGAGGUCAGCCAUGCCUGUGGCGCCCUGCCAGGGCCCAAGCUGCCAGGGUCAAAUGUGCCAGGAGACGGUGCACCUGGACCCCAGGGUGGGCCCCAUGUACAGCACAGCCAGGCUCAGCAUCCUGACCCCGCGGCACCGCCUGGAGAGGAGCUGCUCCUGCAACGGUACUGCCACAAGAUUCAGCGGACAAAGCUUUGGGCGGUACAGUCUUCCGGAGGCACAGAACUGGCACAUCCGUUUCCGCCUGAAAACACUCCAGUCGCAGGCUGUUCUCCUGUUCAGCAAUGAGACAGUGUAUGUCUCCCUGAAGCUGGCUGAUGGAGUGCUCCAGCUGGAAUACCACUGCCCGGGUGGUUUCUAUGGAAAUCUUUCCUCCUGGCUCCACGUGAAUGACCAAGAGUGGCACUCCAUUGUGGUGGAGGAGAUAGACGCUUCCAUUCGCCUAUUGGUUGACAGCUCAGGCAAUGCCUCCCUUGUGCUCCCAGAGAACUGCCAGGGUCUCAGGCCCGAAGGAGACCUCUUUCUGGGUGGCCUUGUUCUCUUGCAUUCUUCCCCAGUUGUGUCCCAGGGUUUUGAAGGCUGCCUGGAUGCGGUUGUGAUCAACGGAGAGGCGCUGGAGCUGCUGGUCCAUGGCAAGAAGUCAUCAGGGUUGCAAGAGAGGCAGGCCCUCACCCAGUGCUGCUCACACAGAAAUGACUGCCGCCAAAACCCAUGUCUGAAUGGCGGCAAGUGCUCACAGACCCGCGGGGCAGGCUAUGUCUGCAAGUGUCCCCCACAGUUCUCGGGCAGGCACUGUGAACAAAGAAGGGAGAACUGUACUUCAAUACCCUGCCUGGAAGGUGGCACUUGCAUCUCAUCCCCUGAAGGUGUCUCCUGUAACUGCCCUCACCCUUAUAUGGGAGACAGGUAAGCACGGGAGCGACUUGCCUUUGGCUCCUCAUCCUGGGUUUGGGACCAUUAGGAAAUGACCUCCGCAUUCCUGCCCAUGAGAGACCAGGAGCUGAGUGCUCCAGUGACCUGGCUUCUUGGUCUUUUCUACGUGCCAAGGCUUCUCCCUCCAGCCACCUGCAUCAGAACAUGCAGGGAAAGAGGGUUCUCAGUGAUUUCUCUAGUCUUCUUCUGGACGUACUGAAUCAGACUCAUUAGGCUGGGCUCCAGGAAUCUACACUUCUAAUCCGCUCCUCAGGCAUUUCCCAUCUUUGCUGAAGUCAGAAAAUGGCUGAAGUUCUUAUUCUCUGGCACUGGGUGGUGACUUCCUGGAGAGUGGCCUGAGGACAAUGACUCCCCUAGGUACAAACACUGCUGUGCUGAACCCCACCGCAAGCUACCUGUGCCUUGUAUUAUGCUAGUCUGGAGGACUGCAAGAAUCCUUAGAUCCCUAGAAUCCUAGAAGCAAAGAGUUUUGCUAAUUAUCUGGUUUUAGGGCUCCCCAGUUUGGGAGUCUUUUUAAAAAUUAUCAGGGACACUUGUGGAAAAUACAGAUUUCUGGACCGACUAUAUCAGAAUCUCCAAGGAAUGAGGCCUGGGAUUCUAUCUAUAACAAGCUCCCAAGAGAUCCCCUUGUUGUCAGCAUGUGCAUAAGAGAGCCAAUGAUGCAGUCCACCCACUCACUUUACACAUGGGGAAACUGAGGCCCAGAGAAAGAAAGGGCUUGUCCAAAGGGCCCCCCACCAUGUGUUUGUGACCCAAGUCCUUUCUCUCAGCACCUGGCAUUUCUGGCCCCACUGCACACCUCGCUCGGCAGGAGAUGUGUUGGCAGGAUACUUCCUGGCUGAAAGUGGUGGUGUUUGCAUUUUAAAAGAGGAACUUGGGGAGGACGAUGUCUAACCCAAGAGAAUAAAGUGUUGGUGGUGAAACUGUAGACACUGGGACUCAAGUAGAAUGAAGGGAGCCUUUCUUAAUAUCCCUCGAAAGUGGAUGAAACUGGCCACGGAACCUCCUAGGAGCCUUAUACCAUGGCACGCCAAGCUGGCAGUGACCUGGGAGGUCAUACAAUUCCAAGUGCUCGCUCUGAACAGUUGUCCGAUGGAAGGUUUGUGCAAGACCAACUGGGUUCCUGUGACCUCCUGAAGAACAGUGGGCAACAGUGGCGCCCAGCUGCCACAGCUGCGUGCUGCUGACUUCUGUCUGGGACUCUGACAAUAUUGCUGAGGACAGCUGGGUGUGAAAUGGAAGCAAGGGGCUGCUCAGAAGGACACUGCCUAGUCACCCCUGAGAUCACAAGGGGUGACUGGGGACAACAGGAGA